GCCUUGUGGUGUAUAAGCACAUGAAAUUGCAAAUUUUAAAGGGUAAAAUGACUCUACCGGGGCUU
rnacentral:tRNA from 1 species